rnacentral:rRNA from 1 species
AGUGAACGCUGGCGGUAGGCCUAACACAUGCAAGUCGAACGGCAGCACAGUAAGAGCUUGCUCUUACGGGUGGCGAGUGGCGGACGGGUGAGGAAUACAUCGGAAUCUACUUUUUCGUGGGGGAUCACGUAGGGAAACUUACGCUAAUACCGCAUACGACCUACGGGUGAAAGCAGGGGAUCUUCGGACCUUGCGCGAUUGAAUGAGCCGAUGUCGGAUUAGCUAGUUGGCGGGGUAAAUGCCCACCAAGGCGACGAUCCGUAGCUGGUCUGAGAGGAUGAUCGGCCACACUGGAACUGAGACACGGUCCAGACUCCUACGGGAGGCAGCAGUGGGGAAUAUUGGACAAUGGGCGCGAGCCUGAUCCAGCCAUACCGCGUGGGUGAAGAAGGCCUUCGGGUUGUAAAGCCCUUUUGUUGGGAAAGAAAAGCAGCAGGUUAAUACCCCGCUGUUCUGACGGUACCCAAAGAAUAAGCACCGGCUAACUUCGUG